rnacentral:lncRNA from 1 species
UGAAACAUUGACUUUUACUGAUUGUGUUAGAUGCCUCAUCACCUUCACAAACAGCAGAUUCAACAGUGAUGUUAGCCUCAAUGCUAUUGCUUUUCUCCGUUUCUGUGCUGUCAAACUUGCAGAAGGGGGCCUUGUUAGCAACGAGAAAAACAACAACAAUGAUUCAUCUAUUCCAGUGGUCGACAAUGAGGCUUCAGAUGGGAUGUUCUUCACAGACAAAGAUGACAAUGAUUCAUCUAUUCCAGUGGUCGAAGAUGAGGCUUCAGAUGGGAUGUUCUUCACAGAUAAAGAUGAUUAUAUGUCUUUCUGGGAGCCUCUGCUCACAGGUGUCUUGUUGCUUUUCUUUUUCCCUAUUUCUGCCUUGCUGGAACAUUAAACAAUUCUUAUUGGUGAACCUGCCUAGUUGUAUCAUGCAGUGACAAGUGGCUAAUGCAACUGGGGGUUUCUUACACUUGUGUGGAAUGACCAAUUUUUUUUCAGUCAAAUUAGUUCACCAUCCUUUCUGCAUAAUCCUCACACCUUUCAAAAUGGGGAGGACCAGAGGAAAUUUGAUUAUGAGUGAACUGGAAAUGAAUUUCAGAAUCUAAUUUGUGGAGUGCACAUGUAAUUUUAAAUUAUUUGAACUUCUGGAGGAAUUUCAAAAGUUGCAUUUUUC